rnacentral:rRNA from 1 species
UACGUAGGGUGCAAGCGUUGUCCGGAAUUAUUGGGCGUAAAGAGCUCGUAGGCGGUUUGUCGCGUCUGCUGUGAAAUCUCGGGGCUUAACCCCGGGCCUGCAGUGGGUACGGGCAGACUAGAGUGCGGUAGGGGAGACUGGAAUUCCUGGUGUAGCGGUGAAAUGCGCAGAUAUCAGGAGGAACACCGGUGGCGAAGGCGGGUCUCUGGGCCGUAACUGACGCUGAGGAGCGAAAGCGUGGGGAGCGAACAGG